GACGAACGCUGGCGGCGUGCUUAACACAUGCAAGUCGAACGCUGAAGCUCAGCUUUUGUUGGGUGGAUGAGUGGCGAACGGGUGAGUAACACGUGAGUAACCUGCCCCCUUCUUUGGGAUAACGCUCGGAAACGGGUGCUAAUACUGGAUAUUCACUGGUCUUCGCAUGGGGGUUGGUGGAAAGGGUUUUUCUGGUGGGGGAUGGGCUCGCGGCCUAUCAGCUUGUUGGUGGGGUGAUGGCCUACCAAGGCUUUGACGGGUAGCCGGCCUGAGAGGGUGACCGGUCACAUUGGGACUGAGAUACGGCCCAGACUCCUACGGGAGGCAGCAGUGGGGAAUAUUGCACAAUGGGCGCAAGCCUGAUGCAGCGACGCCGCGUGAGGGAUGGAGGCCUUCGGGUUGUGAACCUCUUUCGCUCAUGGUCAAGCCGCAACAAUGGUUGUGGUGAGGGUAGUGGGUAAAGAAGCGCCGGCUAACUACGUG
rnacentral:rRNA from 1 species